CAAUAGCAUAUAUUAACGUUGUUGCAGUUGAAAAGCUCGUAGUUGAACUUUUGGUAGGAGCGACCUGGCCUUGGGCGCAUGCCCUUGUUUGCCGUGUGUCGUGUCUGGCCAUCCUUUUCUUCGUUUUUCGGAGGAAUCUUUUACUGUGAGUAAACUGGAGUGCUCAAAACAAGACGUUUGUUUGGUACAUUAAAGCACGGAAUAAUAAGAUAGGACCUGGUUACUAUUUUGUUGGUUUGCAUAGCUAGGUAAUGAUUAACAGGGACAGUUGGGGGUAUUCGUAUUUAAUUGUCAGAGGUGAAAUUCUUGGAUUUAUGAAAGACGAACGACUGCGAAAGCAUUUACCAAGGAUGUUUNCAUUAA
rnacentral:rRNA from 1 species